rnacentral:rRNA from 1 species
CCCUUAGAUGUUCUGGGCUGCACGCGCGCUACACUGAUGCACUCAACGAGUUUACGACCUUGCCCGAUAGGGUUGGGUAAUCUUUUUAAAGUGCAUCGUGAUGGGGAUAGAUUAUUGCAAUUAUUAAUCUUCAACGAGGAAUUCCUAGUAAGCGCGAGUCAUCAGCUCGUGCUGAUUACGUCCCUGCCCUUUGUACACACCGCCCGUCGCUCCUACCGAUUGAGUGCUCAGGUGAAUAAUUCGGACUGCAGCAAUGUUUGGAUCCCGAACGUUGCAGCGGAAAGUUUAGUGAACCUUAUCACUUAGAGGAAGGAGAAGUCGUAACA